AUUGAACGCUGGCGGCAUGCCUUACACAUGCAAGUCGAACGGCAGCACGGGUGCUUACACCUGGUGGCGAGUGGCGAACGGGUGAGUAAUACAUCGGAACAUGUCCUGUAGUGGGGGAUAGCCCGGCGAAAGCCGGAUUAAUACCGCAUACGAUCUACGGAUGAAAGCGGGGGACCUUCGGGCCUCGCGCUAUAGGGUUGGCCGAUGGCUGAUUAGCUAGUUGGUGGGGUAAAGGCCUACCAAGGCGACGAUCAGCAGCUGGUCUGAGAGGACGACCAGCCACACUGGGACUGAGACACGGCCCAGACUCCUACGGGAGGCAGCAGUGGGGAAUUUUGGACAAUGGGCGAAAGCCUGAUCCAGCAAUGCCGCGUGUGUGAAGAAGGCCUUCGGGUUGUAAAGCACUUUUGUCCGGAAAGAAAUCCUUGGCCCUAAUACGGUCGGGGGAUGACGGUACCGGAAGAAUAAGCACCGGCUAACUACGUG
rnacentral:rRNA from 1 species